rnacentral:rRNA from 1 species
GACGAACGCUGGCGGCGUGCCUAAUACAUGCAAGUUGAGCGAUGAAGAUUGGUGCUUGCACCAAUUUGAAGAGCAGCGAACGGGUGAGUAACGCGUGGGGAAUCUGCCUUUGAGCGGGGGACAACAUUUGGAAACGAAUGCUAAUACCGCAUAAUAACUUUAAACAUAAGUUUUAAGUUUGAAAGAUGCAAUUGCAUCACUCAAAGAUGAUCCCGCGUUGUAUUAGCUAGUUGGUGAGGUAAAGGCUCACCAAGGCGAUGAUACAUAGCCGACCUGUGAGGGUGAUCGGCCACAUUGGGACUGAGACACGGCCCAAACUCCUACGGGAGGCAGCAGUAGGGAAUCUUCGGCAAUGGACGAAAGUCUGACCGAGCAACGCCGCGUGAGUGAAGAAGGUUUUCGGAUCGUAAAACUCUGUUGGUAGAGAAGAACGUUGGUGAGAGUGGAAAGCUCAUCAAGUGACGGUAACUACCCAGAAAGGGACGGCUAACUACGUG